rnacentral:rRNA from 1 species
AAAGAUUAAGCCAUGCAUGUCUAAGUAUAAGCAAUUAUACGGCGAAACUGCGAAUGGCUCAUUAUAUAAGUUAUCGUUUAUUUGAUAGCACCUUACUACUUGGAUAACCGUGGUAAUUCUAGAGCUAAUACAUGCUGAAAAUCCCGACUUCGGAAGGGAUGUAUUUAUUAGAUUAAAAACCAAUGCCCUCUGGGCUCUCUGGUGAUUCAUGAUAACUGCGCGAAUCGCAUGGCCUUGCGCCGGCGAUGGUUCAUUCAAAUUUCUUCCCUAUCAACUUUCGAUGUUUGGGUAGUGGCCAAACAUGGUUGCAACGGGUAACGGAGGGUUAGGGCUCGGCCCCGGAGAAGGAGCCUGAGAAACGGCUACUACAUCCAAGGAAGGCAGCAGGCGCGCAAAUUACCCAAUCCCGACACGGGGAGGUAGUGACAAUAAAUACUGAUACAGGGCUCUUUUGGGUCUUGUAAUUGGAAUGAGUACAAUUUAAAUCCCUUAACGAGGAACAAUUGGAGGGCAAGUCUGGUGAACGUUGCUGGUGCCAGAGAGAGCCGCCCCUCCGUAAACCGUGCGGCUAGUCGAGUGCUCGCGUCAGUGGCGGGUGAGCACCGGCGAGACAACCUGGGUCGGGGAAGGCUAAGGGCCCCCGGGGGCCUAUGCUGAUCCCGAGCAGAGCCGUGCUGCGCAAGCCGGCCUGUGUAGAGCGCGCCAAGGUGUCGGUCCAGGGGAGUCGCCUCCCCGGGGCUUAAGGUACGUGCCAAUCCCCUGCGAAAGCAGGGCCCUGCGGACGGAGCACCCGUCAUGCGAAGCCGCAGGGGGGCAGGCGGCCCCUCCGGGGGCCCCUGCCGUCAACAACAGUGGCCAGCAGCCGCGGUAAUUCCAGCUCCAAUAGCGUAUAUUAAAGUUGUUGUGGUUAAAAAGCUCGUAGUUGAACCUUGGGCCUGGCCGGCCGGUCCGCCUCACCGCGUGCACUGGUCCGGCCGGGCCUUUCCCCCCGCGGAACCCCAUGCCCUUCACUGGGCGUGGCGGGGAAACGGGACUUUUACUUUGAAAAAAUUAGAGUGCUCCAGGCAGGCCUAUGCUCGAAUACAUUAGCAUGGAAUAAUGAAAUAGGACGUGCGGUUCUAUUUUGUUGGUUUCUAGGACCGCCGUAAUGAUUAAUAGGGACAGUCGGGGGCAUCAGUAUUCAAUUGUCAGAGGUGAAAUUCUUGGAUUUAUUGAAGACUAGCUACUGCGAAAGCAUUUGCCAAGGAUGUUUUCAUUAAUCAGGAACGAAAGUUAGGGGAUCGAAGACGAUCAGAUACCGUCGUAGUCUUAACCAUAAACUAUGCCGACUAGGGAUCGGACGAUGUUAUCUUUUGACUCGUUCGGCACCUUACGAGAAAUCAAAGUGCUUGGGCUCCAGGGGGAGUAUGGUCGCAAGGCUGAAACUUAAAGAAAUUGACGGAAGGGCACCACCAGGGGUGGAGCCUGCGGCUUAAUUUGACUCAACACGGGGAAACUCACCAGGUCGACCGUCUGGGCCUGGAACAGUGGCGGGGGGCCUCCGCGCCUCCCGCCCGCUAGUAUCGAAACCUCAUCCGCGUGGGGAAGCCCCCGUUGUCGGGCGCGGAGCGGCCGCCGAACGGCGGGCCGUGGUUCGAUGCGACACCAGCUGGAACAGGGGACGCCUCCCUGCGGGAAACCGCACAGGCCAACCCUGUGGCGAGCUCAGGUUGCGCUGAGCCGUCGCAACGCGCGCUAAGCGGUGGGCCUGGCCUGCUAGAAGAGGCAGCCAGGCUUAAGGUACGUGCUAAUCCCGCGGGAAACCGCGGCUCCCCUGAAUAGGCCCGACACGCCGAAGCAGCGGGAGGCGGGCGGCUCGCUGCGGGCCGGCCCGCGUGUGUGGUCGCGGUAGCUUCCUGUAGCUACCGCGGCCCAGGCAGAUGCCAGACACAAUGAGGAUUGACAGAUUGAGAGCUCUUUCUUGAUUUUGUGGGUGGUGGUGCAUGGCCGUUCUUAGUUGGUGGAGUGAUUUGUCUGCUUAAUUGCGAUAACGAACGAGACCUUAACCUGCUAAAUAGCCCGUGCUGCUCCGGCAGCACGCCGGCUUCUUAGAGGGACGAUCGGCUCAAGCCGAUGGAAGUUUGAGGCAAUAACAGGUUGACGCAUCUCAGGCCUGUCACAGUGGGCCUCGUUAAAUAUGACCGCUAGUCCAGCGACUUUACCUCCGCGGGGAAGCCCCCGUUGUCGGGCGGAGGGGGCGCGCCUCCUUGCUGAGGGGCGCCCUGUCGCGGGCGACACCACCUGGUACAGGGGACGCCGGCGCCGCCGGCCGAUCCUGUGGCGAGCCUGGGUAGCGCCAGGCCGUUGCAACGCGCGCAAAGGGGUGGGCCUCCGGGCUUAAGGUACGUGCUAAUCCCGUGGGAAGAAGAAACCACGCCCCCGCAACAAGGCCCGACAAGCCGAAGUGCGGGGUGGCCCGGGGCGCUACGGCGCGCCGGGCCGGUAACUGCUGUGAUGCCCUUAGAUGUUCUGGGCCGCACGCGCGCUACACUGACGGAGCCAGCGAGUGCUUCCUUGGCCGGAAGGCCCGGGUAAUCUUGUUAAACUCCGUCGUGCUGGGGAUAGAGCAUUGCAAUUAUUGC